rnacentral:ncRNA from 1 species
ACUAAUGCGUUGACAAGGACAAGAGUGGAUUUGUACGGCUCAUAGAGAGGGAGGCCCUGGCUGAAAGCUUCCCAGUACGGCAAAAACACUUACCACCUUUGAGCAGCAAUUGUGAAAUUUUCCAGUAGCAAUUGACGGUACCGGCCCGUUAGCCGAUGCAGAGCUUCAUUUUGGACAGGAUCCGUCCGUCCAGGAUAGAAGAAGGGUGGAACCACGAACUUAAGCUUCGUCCCUUUG